CGGGUUUUGUGCAAGUUGAUGGCGCAGCUUACACAUGCAAGUCGAGCGGAGAGAGGUAGCUUGCUACUGAUCUUAGCGGCGGACGGGUGAGUAAUGCUUAGGAAUCUGCCUAUUAGUGGGGGACAACAUUUCGAAAGGAAUGCUAAUACCGCAUACGUCCUACGGGAGAAAGCAGGGGAUCUUCGGACCUUGCGCUAAUAGAUGAGCCUAAGUCGGAUUAGCUAGUUGGUGGGGUAAAGGCCUACCAAGGCGACGAUCUGUAGCGGGUCUGAGAGGAUGAUCCGCCACACUGGGACUGAGACACGGCCCAGACUCCUACGGGAGGCAGCAGUGGGGAAUAUUGGACAAUGGGCGCAAGCCUGAUCCAGCCAUGCCGCGUGUGUGAAGAAGGCCUUAUGGUUGUAAAGCACUUUAAGCGAGGAGGAGGCUACUUUAGUUAAUACCUAGAGAUAGUGGACGUUACUCGCAGAAUAAGCACCGGCUAACUCUGUGCCAGCAGCCGCGGUAAUACAGAGGGUGCAAGCGUUAAUCGGAUUUACUGGGCGUAAAGCGCGCGUAGGCGGCUAAUUAAGUCAAAUGUGAAAUCCCCGAGCUUAACUUGGGAAUUGCAUUCGAUACUGGUUAGCUAGAGUGUGGGAGAGGAUGGUAGAAUUCCAGGUGUAGCGGUGAAAUGCGUAGAGAUCUGGAGGAAUACCGAUGGCGAAGGCAGCCAUCUGGCCUAACACUGACGCUGAGGUGCGAAAGCAUGGGGAGCAAACAGGAUUAGAUACCCUGGUAGUCCAUGCCGUAAACGAUGUCUACUAGCCGUUGGGGCCUUUGAGGCUUUAGUGGCGCAGCUAACGCGAUAAGUAGACCGCCUGGGGAGUACGGUCGCAAGACUAAAACUCAAAUGAAUUGAGGGGGCCCGCACAAGCGGUGGAGCAUGUGGUUUAAUUCGAUGCAACGCGAAGAACCUUACCUGGCCUUGACAUAGUAAGAACUUUCCAGAGAUGGAUUGGU
rnacentral:rRNA from 1 species